UUGGCUUAGAAGCAGCCAUCAUUUAAAGAAAGCGUAAUAGCUCACUGGUCGAGUCGGCCUGCGCGGAAGAUGUAACGGGGCUAAACCAUGCACCGAAGCUGCGGCAGCGACGCUGAUGCGUUGUUGGGUAGGGGAGCGUUCUGUAAGCCUGUGAAGGUGUGCUGUGAGGCAUGCUGGAGGUAUCAGAAGUGCGAAUGCUGACAUAAGUAACGAUAAAGCGGGUGAAAAGCCCGCUCGCCGGAAGACCAAGGGUUCCUGUCCAACGUUAAUCGGGGCAGGGUGAGUCGACCCCUAAGGCGAGGCCGAAAGGCGUAGUCGAUGGGAAACAGGUUAAUAUUCCUGUACUUGGUGUUACUGCGAAGGGGGGACGGAGAAGGCUAUGUUGGCCGGGCGACGGUUGUCCCGGUUUAAGCGUGUAGGCUGGUUUUCCAGGCAAAUCCGGAAAAUCAAGGCUGAGGCGUGAUGACGAGGCACUACGGUGCUGAAGCAACAAAUGCCCUGCUUCCAGGAAAAGCCUCUAAGCAUCAGGUAACAUCAAAUCGUACCCCAAACCGACACAGGUGGUCAGGUAGAGAAUACCAAGGCGCUUGAGAGAACUCGGGUGAAGGAACUAGGCAAAAUGGUGCCGUAACUUCGGGAGAAGGCACGCUGAUAUGUAGGUGAAGCGACUUGCUCGUGGAGCUGAAAUCAGUCGAAGAUACCAGCUGGCUGCAACUGUUUAUUAAAAACACAGCACUGUGCAAACACGAAAGUGGACGUAUACGGUGUGACGCCUGCCCGGUGCCGGAAGGUUAAUUGAUGGGGUCAGCGCAAGCGAAGCUCUUGAUCGAAGCCCCGGUAAACGGCGGCCGUAACUAUAACGGUCCUAAGGUAGCGAAAUUCCUUGUCGGGUAAGUUCCGACCUGCACGAAUGGCGUAAUGAUGGCCAGGCUGUCUCCACCCGAGACUCAGUGAAAUUGAACUCGCUGUGAAGAUGCAGUGUACCCGCGGCAAGACGGAAAGACCCCGUGAACCUUUACUAUAGCUUGACACUGAACAUUGAGCCUUGAUGUGUAGGAUAGGUGGGAGGCUUUGAAGUGUGGACGCCAGUCUGCAUGGAGCCGACCUUGAAAUACCACCCUUUAAUGUUUGAUGUUCUAACGUGGACCCGUGAUCCGGGUUGCGGACAGUGUCUGGUGGGUAGUUUGACUGGGGCGGUCUCCUCCUAAAGAGUAACGGAGGAGCACGAAGGUUGGCUAAUCCUGGUCGGACAUCAGGAGGUUA
rnacentral:rRNA from 1 species